rnacentral:tRNA from 1 species
GCCGGGUUAGCUCAGUUGGUAGAGCAACCGCCUUGUAAGCGGUAGGUCGCCGGUUCGAGUCCGGCACCCGGCACCA